rnacentral:rRNA from 1 species
UACGUAGGGUGCGAGCGUUAAUCGGAAUUACUGGGCGUAAAGCGUGCGCAGGCGGUUUUGUAAGCCAGAUGUGAAAUCCCCGGGCUUAACCUGGGAAUGGCAUUUGGGACUGCAAGGCUGGAGUACGGCAGAGGAGACUGGAAUUCCUGGUGUAGCAGUGAAAUGCGUAGAGAUCAGGAGGAAUACCGAUGGCGAAGGCAGGUCUCUGGGCUGAUACUGACGCUCAUGCACGAAAGCGUGGGGAGCAACAGG